rnacentral:misc_RNA from 1 species
AGUUGAGUUGAGUUGAGUUGUACAAAAGAGUACUAAGUGAUGCCAUGGUUUCCCAAUCAUGGUCAAUGGAUCUAUAUCUAUUCAAACAAAUUUCAAGAUUCUUAUAUUAAGUCAGUGUCAAUUACCGAGCAUUGAAGUUAUAUUACUAUUUAGGAAUAUUUUUUGUGUAGUUUCCUAGUUUAGAUUUUUCCAUACAGGAUAUUUAUUAUCUAAAUCAUUUAGGAAGUUCACUUUUAUUUUAGGAACUCUUAUUAUUUUUCAUAUUUAGUUGGAGCCUUAUUUCUUUCCUAGUUAGUUUGAACAUUGAGCCUAUAAAUACAAUUUACAAUCUUAUAUAACUUAAUUUCCACUUCGGUAUUGGUACAAUUGAGAUUUUUUUUCUCUCGCUCUUUUGGUGGAUUCCUAAGGGCAUUAAGGAAGAACAAAGGUACAUGUUAUAUGAAAUAAGAAUUCCUUCCCCCUUCCCACAAGGAAAAAUAGACAUAUGUUACACCAGUAUUUCACUUUUCAUGGAAAUAGCAUCCUAAGAGAUGCAACGAAACUCACAAUUCCUAUCAACUCAACAUCAACAAGGGAAAAAUGAAACUCACAAGCAGAAAUACCAGAAUCAUUUUACAUGUCAUAGUCUAUAUUAAUACCAAAUAUCCCUCCACAUAAAAAAUUCAUUGAACCCCCACCCUUCUAUUUCAUUUAACUUUCAGCUCUAAUUAUGUAGUCUUUCAUAUAAAGGAGAAGUUGUACAGUGUUACAGUUUUAGUGUUGGAAUUUAUGGAAUUAUAAAUUUGGUAACAGUAUAACACCUCAGAUUCCAAUAAUCUGAUACUGAUUAAUUUAAAAUUGAAUAUAUAAAAAACAAGUCCAACCAUAAAGAAACUUCCUAUAAGAUUCUAAAUUACCCAUGCCAAUUUCUUCAAUAACAUUACACUGCAGCAAUAAAGCAAA